UACAGAGGGUGCAAACGUUGCUCGGAAUCAUUGGGCGUAAAGCGCACGUAGGUGGUUUGUUAAGUCGGGUGUGAAAGCCCUGGGCUCAACCCUGGAAUGCCGGUGGAAACUGUCAAGCUUGAGUCCGGAAGAGGCGAGUGGAAUUCCUGGUGUAGCGGUGAAAUGCGCAGAUAUCAGGAGGAACACCAAUGGCGAAGGCAGCUCGCUGGGACGGUACUGACGCUGAGACGCGAAAGCGUGGGGAGCAAACAGG
rnacentral:rRNA from 1 species